rnacentral:rRNA from 1 species
UCCCUCCCGACUGUUUACCAAAACACAGCACUUGCCAACUCGUAAGAGGAAGUAUAAGGUGUGACGCCUGCCCGGUGCUCGAAGGUUAAGAGGAUGCGUCAGUCGCAAGAUGAAGCGUUGAAUUGAAGCCCGAGUAAACGGCGGCCGUAACUAUAACGGUCCUAAGGUAGCGAAAUUCCUUGUCGGUUAAAUACCGACCUGCAUGAAUGGCGUAACGAGAUGGGAGCUGUCUCAACCAGAGAUUCAGUGAAAUUGUAGUGGAGGUGAAAAUUCCUCCUACCCGCGGCAAGACGGAAAGACCCCGUGGACCUUUACUACAACUUAGCACUGCUAAUGGGAAUAUCAUGCGCAGGAUAGGUGGGAGGCUUUGAAGUAAGGGCUUUGGCUCUUAUGGAG